ensembl:misc_RNA
AAUCCUGUCCUACCUGAGAUUUUGGUGCCUUCAAUCUGAAAAAAAUACGCAUCCCUCUGGUACUCUAGAGGAACUUGAGAACAGUCCUUCCCUGAACUAAAGCCAGACCAUUGUGGGAUUUGGAGACUAAAG